AGCGUGUGGUUUCCCGCAGGGCUCCGAAUGGGCGGGGCCCUACACCAGCGAUAGCCUUAAAGGGAGGAGAACUCUUUAGGGACUGCGCUGUGAGGAUUAAUUUGGGACGUGAUGGUUAAAGGUUCUGGCUUGAGACUCUUUGUUUGCGUUGUUAAUUUUGAAGGAGGUAGAAAUUGAAGCUGGUCCAGUUAACGCUGGGUUCUCAGUCUGGAGAGCAGGAAAAAAAAAUCGAGACGAACCGAAGAAGAUGAGUCUUUCCCCGAAGGAGAUAGAAGAUGGGGAAGAUGAAAUGUUAGAAGAUCGAAAUGCCAAAACCCUUUGAUCAAGGACAGGCCUGACACAGUCACUCAGCAUGAAUUAAUAGACGUGUUUGAGGAUGUUUCGCAGAUCAGAUUGCUGCAGGAUCGCCUGUGUCAACGGCAUGUCACCAGCCGAUGCCGAGAGAGCCUUGGAAGAGAAGCCAGGAACGGGGAUCGGUGGGCUCGCCAUGGUUCUGGACCCCGUGAAUGCGAAAAGCCAAAACCGGGAAGAGGGCAGCGCCUGGAGAAGUCAGGAGGUUACAGCCCGGGAGGUGGAGCCCAGGCCGGGCCGGGGUUGUGGGCGGGGUUCCCGGGGAGGGGGCCCUGUGAGGUCAGGGGCACUUGGCACUUAUAAAUACAGUUCCUCCCUCACCCUCACAGUUCUGCCAAGCUAAUGAGCGUUGUCCUGGUUGACCGUAACCUUGAUGUCUGCGAAAGGCGUGGCACCUUGGGAGACAGCCUGUAGAUCCCCCACCCCCACCCCCACCCCCUGCCCCGCUGGGGUAGCCUCUAGGAUUCUGUUUGAACAAGCCCUUUAACCUGUGGUUUCAGAAUUAGAUAUUUAAUGCCCUUCAAACAUUUAAUUCUCUUCACGUAGAUGGGUUUUUUUUUUUUCCUCUCACAGGGCGUGCGGAAGUUCUAGGCCGGGGAUCAAACCCAUGCCACAGCAGUAACCCAAGCCACAGCAGUGACAAUGCUGAGUCCUUAACUGCUGGGCCACCCGGGAACUCCUCAAGUAGAAUUUUUAAAAAGCUUAACACCAGAGAACCCCAAACCAGUGCCCUUAAUCUGCAUAACUUGAUUGGUAGACAUGGUGGCGUAUACAGUAUUUAGAGGAAAAAAAAAACCCAGUAGAAUUUACUAUGAGUAUUUUUUACAGUCAAAGGGUUUUACAUAAAAAUCUGGAUUUCUAGCUUUUGCUACAUCCAAAAAUGUGGUGGCCUUAGGGCCACAUCCCUACGUGUCUGCAGCCAUCUGGAGAGAGGCAGCUGCUUCCUCUUGGCUGUGGCAUUUGCUCUGCUGGCUACAAGCCCCACCAUUCUUCUGGAAGUCUUCCCCACCUCUGAAGGAGCGAGCAUCAUGCUGACACUUUGAAAAAAAUAGUUCAUUCUUUUUUCUUACAAAGCAUUACUUUUUUCUUAUUGGUAAAGAUGACGUUUUAUUUAUUUUUUUGUCUUUUGUCUUUUUAGGGCUGCACC